UAAAUGCUAUGAUUAUUCCAGUUUUACGAUGAGGCCCAGUGCUGUUGUGUUACCUGCCCAAGGCAGCUCAGCAAACAGUCUUUGGGGAAAUUGAGGACCUUUUGGCUUUGGGUCUGGGUGCUGGCUAUGGGAGGCAUUGAGUUUCUGAAAAAGUCCGAUGGACUGGAAAGCUAUGAUAGAUGCAUUUUCCAUAUGCAAGUUAUGCUUCAGUUAAACAAUCAGAAAGGAGGAGGGAUCACUGACUCUUUUUUGGCAUCUAAAGCCUCAGUGAAACUCAGCCUGGCUCAUCAGCCUCUGUCCAGAACCCCCUCAGCACCGCUGUCUUCCCUUCCUUGCUGGCCCCGGCAAUCCACCCAGCAGAGAACAGAGCAGCCCAGAAGUGUCUUCACAGCCUUCUUGCCCCACACUAGGGGAAUGGCAGGCCACGGGGGAUGAAGGGCCAGCUGCCCAGGGGCUUGCACACCUCCUUCCUGCUCUUCAUUGUCCAUCAUUGUGCUGGAGCCCACCCCCAGCCUCUCCUGGACAGGAGCUCCAGACUAGAGCUGGGAGAUGGCACAAUAGCUCCUUUCAUUCUGGAUGGUUCUUUCCCCAUGAGUGUCUGGGACAAGGAGGACAUCCCCAUGACCGUGCUGACGUCAACUAAGCAUGUGCUUGUGACUUGCCUCCUGCCUGUGCGAAUCCUUUCACCCAGGAGUAUCAGGAAACCCAUUCCAGGGGAGGGGUGCCCCCAGGGCAAUCUCUGCCGUUGCCAGCAUGGGGCAAGCUGCCCCAGAGCUGCUGAGGACCUUUGUCUUGUCCACACUCCUCAGAGAUGAUAAUCGUUGUUGUCCACUCUUGUAUUGCACAACCUUGGUGGGGAGGAGAACCUUCUGAAGAUCAGUAGCUGCUUCCCUAAGCUCAGAAGGCCUCUUCCUGUCCUCUCCUCCAGUCCAUGGUGGCUGCCCUGUUUUACAAUGGGCUUCUCCCGGGAGACCCCUCAGUUCCCAGGAUACAUAAACUCCUGGUGCACUUGCCCCGGCGGCCCCUUACGUAGACCUGGACUCUGGGUGAACAGACUUCCAACUCAGAGGGGCUCCUGCUGCAAUCCUACACAGGCACAGCUCACUAAGUACUCACUCCUGCUGCGAUCCUACACAGGCGCAGCUCACAAGUACUCACGAGUUAUCACUCUGCUCAUCUCAGAGGACUGCCUGAGGCUCAGAGAACUCAGGAGCCAAGAAUCUUGAGAAAGCUUUACCGCCGGACCUGGGAGUGGGGCCGGGAAUGCAGCCCUUCCACAGACGGCGCACUGGCCUUGCUUGGACGUCUGGUGGCCGAGGCGGUCCUGAGAAGCUUCCUCUGGUGCUCCCUGUGGACUUCGUACCACUUGCAUCUCCCAGCUGCUCUUUCAACCUUACAUCUUAUAUCGUUUUUACUGGAUUACUGUACACCCCAUAUCACAGAGAAAAUAAAUGUCACCAGAAAUGGGCAUCUUGGAACUUUCUGCCCAGUAUUGCUGUGAUA
ensembl:lncRNA